rnacentral:piRNA from 2 species
AUUCUCACUACUGCACUUGACUAGU